rfam:Myotis brandtii contig186584, whole genome shotgun sequence.
GGCGGUUCUCAGGUGACGCACCCCGGAAUCGGGCUCCCCUCGCUCUGGUUCUGGGUGAGUCAUCCAAGAACCACA